GGGGCUAUAGCUCAGCUGGGAGAGCACCUGCUUUGCAAGCAGGGGGUCAGCGGUUCGAUCCCGCUUAGCUCCA
rfam:Martelella mediterranea DSM 17316 strain MACL11, complete genome.